rnacentral:tRNA from 1 species
CCAGGGGUAGCUCAGAGCUUACAGUGUCUGCCUGGAAUGCAGGAGACCAGGGUUCGAUCCCUGGCUCGGGA